GGUACUUAUGCCAAGCAUUUUCGACGCGGCUACGGCAGUGCCAUCGCGAGCAUUGGCAUCACCCAGCGGUGAUGCCUUUUCUGCGCGAGGCCUGCGCAUUUCCCCCAACUACCGGGCAGGGCCAUCGCGAGCACUGGCAUCACCCAGCGGUGCUGCCUUUUCUGCGCGAGGCCUGCGCAUUUCCCCCAACUACCGGGCAGGGCCAUCGCGAGCACUGGCAUCACCCAGCGGUGAUGCCUUUUCUGCGCGAGGCCUGCGCUUUCCCCCUUCUAUUGUAUAGGGCAGUCAUCGCGAGCACUGGCAUGAUGCCUUUUCUACGCGAUGUUCUACCCUACUACUACUACUACCUACUGUUAUGUGACUUACCGCUGCCUACUGCUGUUCCCGGUGACCGUCCGAUUCGGCGAACUGGAGCAAAUGAGCGCACUCAGUGCGAAGUGCUUGCUUAUAUAGCAAGCACAGCGCAGCUUUCGUCGCGGUAGCGAGGUGAGUAUGCGUAUGGUGCAUUAGGACGUAUGGUGGAAAGCUCUAGCGGGGUUCAGCAUCGUUGUGUGCGUAUGGUGCGGGUACAUGGUGUACUGUGGGGCGAAGUUGACGUAACUUAUUGGAAGGUGGCAAAAGCCACGUUACAGUCCCCCCCUCACUUCGGACAAUGAUCCUUCGCUGGCGGCAGGUGGGAGGAGAUCUCCCACGAUGGUUCGGCUGGAGGCUGGCUGGCUGUCUUAGUUGGCGUGAGCCGUGAACGGGGAGCGGGUGUGGAAACCUUUAUUUAAUAGUAGUUUCUUAGCCUAUAGUACCAAGGCGUCUUAUAAACUAGUAUUACAAAAUUUUUAAAUUAACCUAUUGUACAAGGUGUCUUAUAAACUAGUAUUACCAAUUUUUAAAUUAAUUUUAA